AUACGAAGGGGGCUAGCGUUGUUCGGAAUUACUGGGCGUAAAGCGCAUGUAGGCGGACAUUUAAGUCAGGGGUGAAAUCCCGGGGCUCAACCUCGGAACUGCCUUUGAUACUGGGUGUCUAGAGUGUGGAAGAGGUAAGUGGUAUUCCGAGUGUAGAGGUGAAAUUCGUAGACAUUCGGAGGAACACCAGUGGCGAAGGCGGCUUACUGGUCCAUCACUGACGCUGAGGUGCGAAAGCGUGGGGAGC
rnacentral:rRNA from 1 species